rnacentral:rRNA from 1 species
GACGUAGGGGGCAAGCGUUGUCCGGAAUUAUUGGGCGUAAAGCGCUCGUAGGCGGAUCGGUAAGUCUGUGAAGAAAGACCCGGGCUCAACUCGGGGAACGGCAUAGAUACUGCUGAUCUUGAGACAGUCAGAGGAUGAUGGAAUUCCAGGUGUAGCGGUGAAAUUCGUAGAUAUUGGGAAGAACACCGGUGGCGAAGGCGGCUCACUGGCUCGUAACUGACGCUCAUGCACGACAGCGUGGGGAUCAAACAGG